rnacentral:rRNA from 1 species
UACGUAGGGUGCAAGCGUUGUCCGGAAUUAUUGGGCGUAAAGAGCUCGUAGGCGGCUCGUCGCGUCUGCUGUGAAAGCCCGGGGCUUAACCCCGGGUCUGCAGUGGGUACGGGCGGGCUAGAGUGCGGUAGGGGAGACUGGAAUUCCUGGUGUAGCGGUGAAAUGCGCAGAUAUCAGGAGGAACACCGGUGGCGAAGGCGGGUCUCUGGGCCGUAACUGACGCUGAGGAGCGAAAGCAUGGGUAGCGAACAGG